ACAAAAUGAUUAGCGACCCGUUGCUGAAAGCUGGAUAGAUUUCAGGUUUUAGUUGUAUGUACUUCAAGGUGGUUGAUCUAUUGUUCUUGAGGUUUGCGAGAGUUACAUUUUUACUCCAAUCUGGUUGCCUCCUAAAACUCUAUAGAAAGCAAAAUCAAGUUUGUCUCUGCCAAUGUCUGCAGCGCCCGUCAGUCCUACAACAUAUGCUGUCGAGAAGCAAGAACCAGCCAAAAUGGAUGACUCUUAAAUGGCUUCGUGGAGGACAUGAUAGCCUCUCGUUCACUUGAUGGAGAACAGAGUUCAGGGUUGGCCAUGUGCAAGAGAAAGGAGGCUCAUAGUUUCAACUUUUGUUCGCUGCUUGGUUCGUUCUUCGAGCCCUGCUUCUCCCUUCUCCCUCUCGCUCGAUUUACUGUCGAAUUUAUAUAGUUGGCUACUAUAUUGCCUGAUACUGUGAAAAGUUACGAGAAAAAUGUGUUUAUAAUGUUUAGGUGUAUGAUUGCUGCACCAACGGUGUACAAAAGUUGCAUUCAAAUUCUAUUUGUUUUCUACGGAC